UCAGACUGGACUGAACCGCUGCUGCCCUGAACCUCAUGGUUAUCACAACACAAACAUCACUGAUCAAAUGAACAACCAGACUGUAGUGAUGGAUGGAUGAACAGUAGUUCUCUUCUGGCUUCAAGCCUGGCUGCAGAUUCCUGGUUGGAUUUAAGUCUGAACUUUGACUAGGCCAUCCUAACAGAUGAAACUGCUCUGAUCUAAACUUCAUUGUAGCUCUGGCUGCAUGUUGUUCUGCUGGAAGAGGUCAGGGCCUCCAGAGGCGGCUCCUGGCCGGGUCUCUGAUCAAUGCUCUGCCUCCACACACACACUCAGUUCAGAUGAAUGAUUGAUUAUUGGUGGGAUUACAGUUUCACCGUCUUCUCUUCAUAUCCCGAUGACGUUUGGAACAGAGCUCUCUGAGAUGUUCAAAGCUUAGGAAAUCAUUUCAUCAGGUAAUUUAAAUAACUUUAUAUUUGAAACCUUCACAGACAACC